CCUACGGGAGGCAGCAGUGAGGAAUAUUGGUCAAUGGACGAGAGUCUGAACCAGCCAAGUAGCGUGAAGGAUGACUGCCCUAUGGGUUGUAAACUUCUUUUAUAUGGGAAUAAAACGUUCCACGUGUGGGAUUUUGUAUGUACCAUAUGAAUAAGGAUCGGCUAACUCCGUGCCAGCAGCCGCGGUAAUACGGAGGAUCCGAGCGUUAUCCGGAUUUAUUGGGUUUAAAGGGAGCGUAGGUGGAUUGUUAAGGCAGUUGUGAAAGUUUGCGGCUUAACCGUAAAAUUGCAGUUGAAACUGGCAGUCUUGAGUACAGUAGAGGUGGGCGGAAUUCGUGGUGUAGCGGUGAAAUGCUUAGAUAUCACGAAGAACUCCGAUUGCGAAGGCAGUUCACUGGACUGCAACUGACACUGAGGCUCGAAAGUGUGGGUAUCAAACAGGAUUAGAUACCCUAGUAGUC
rnacentral:rRNA from 1 species